rnacentral:tRNA from 2 species
GAGGGUGUAGCUCAGCAGGUUAGAGCGCAAGAUUGUGGCUCUUGAGGCCGUGGGUUCGAACCCCAUCAUCCUCCCCA